AACCUAUUUUUAUUUGCUUUACUUUUGAAAGCUAACAGAGCAAGAUCAUGCCUUAUUCAAAACUGUCAAAUACACAGUACAGAAAGCUAUCAGUAUGAGUAUGCAUGUUCACUCCACUUUUGCUUGCACAGAUAAACAUUAAAAUUCAGAGUCAUGAAAAUUCAAUUUAUAAGGAUUUGGCUUUCUGACAGAGCUUGCCAAGUUCACUGCUACCUGUGACACCACCAACCCUGUGUCUACAGCCUAAAUCACUUCCAUAAACACAUGCACAUUUUCAGGAAGUUUUUUGUUUUCUUUUUGAACAGCCAGAAUUAGGCCUAUCCCCUUUCUUGGGAUGUCCCCUUUGGCUUUGUGUGGAUCAUUACAGACGUGGACAUUGUGCCCACAGACCCUCCUUUCUUUCUUUUAAAAUCCAGCUACAAAUAGCUCCAAGUGGCCUCAUUCCCAGCCCAGUCUCAUGCGAGCUCCUGGGGUGCCGGUGGGCUCGGCACGCUCAUCACCUGCCCUACCUGUUUACGUCACCCAACCCCCAGCCCUGUAGCAGGGGCUGCUUCCUGCCCUGGAGCUCCAAAGUCUAGUGUCAGAGUUAUGAGUACAUGGGGUGGGCAGGGGAGACCACAGGAGACAAAGUCCAGAUCAGGUGGUGACAAAACUGCAGUGGGAAGAGCAUCUGAUUCAGAUGAAGGCGACCAGGAGAAGAGGUCACCAAGGAUCAGGACUGAGAUGACAGCAGAAGGGGAAAGUUCUUCUGUGAUACCCUUACACAUACCCUGCUCCUGCACCCUCUGCUCUGCUGAAUCUCCCCACACUGCACUUAUCAGUGGGCUGAAG
rnacentral:lncRNA from 1 species